GUUCUGGUAGCCUAAAUACUAAGGCAUCGGUCUUGUAAGCCGAAGAUUGAGGGUGAAAACCCCUCCCAAAACA
rnacentral:tRNA from 1 species